GCAAAGUUUAUGCUUGUCGCCGAAAUUUAAUUAUUUCGGAGGAAAGUCCGGGCAACGCUGGGCACCACACCUCCUAACGGGAGGGUAUCUUUGCAAAAAGAUAACAGCCAGUGCCGCAGAGAAUUAGUAUGAUAGGUUUUCUAUCGUAAGUGAAAAUACUUCGUGUACAAUAACCAAGUAAUUGCUUAUUGGGGUAAACCUUGUGGGUUGAAAAAUCAAAUAUAUUUCGGCUUCUGAAAAGAUAUAUGGCAGCCCUCCAAAAAGAAAUUGCCGAAAUGGGUAGAUUGAUAGAUGCUUUUUGUGAAAAAAGUACCAGAUAAAUGACAAGCUGUUUUUGAAUGAAAACACACAGAACCCGGCUUAUAUAAACUUUGCACUU
rnacentral:RNase_P_RNA from 1 species